UAGGAAACAGGGAGCCAGUAUCACACGGAGACUCUGACUCAAAGCAGCCUCAGUCCUUAUGAUGUUUCUUUUUAUUCAAGGCCAAGAAGGAAGAUUGCAGCCAGCUGGUGCCCCAUCUUAAAACUUUCUCCCAUCAAACUCAUUCUGGUGAAUCACUCAUGGAUGUAAGGGGAUUUGAUGCACAGCGAAGAUUAAGAACUCCUGUGAUGGAUGGAUUUGUGGCAGCGCAAGGAGUCCAAAGGAACUUGUGGAGGUGUUUUUCCAUGCAGAGAAGACAACACAGCAGAGGGGACAACACCUCUGAUAUCCUUUCUUCUGCUUGGUCAAUUCAGCUGUUGAAACUUGUGCAUGCUUCGCAAAGUUCUUGUGUCGUGUUUUUCAGGUCCAUCAAUUCACUUAUACUCCUCUCUAAGUUGUUUAUUCUUGUUAGCACUUAGUCAAAUCGUUUUUCAAGGUUCUUAGUUUCUUUGCAUUGGGUUAGAACGUGUUCUUUUACCUCACAGAAGCUUCUUAUCACCCACUUUCUGAAGCCUGAUUCUGUCAAUUCACCACACUCAUUCUCCAUCCACCGCAGAGACUUUGAGGGAAAAAACUUGGUGAGUUGAGACACAGAAAGAAGGCGAAUGUGGCUGGAAUAUGAUAGAAAAGGGAGGCCAGGUGCGGUGGCUCAAGCCUGUAAUCCCAGCACUUUGGGAGGCCGAGGCGGGUGGAUCACGAGGUCAAGAGAUUGAGACCAUCCUGGUCAACAUGGUGAAACCCUGUUUCUACUAAAAAUACAAAAAAAAUUAGCUGGGCAUGGUGGUGCGUGCCUGUAAUCCCAGCUACUCGGGAGGCUGAGGCAGGAGAAUUGCCUGAACCCAGGAGGCGGAGGUAGCGAUGAGCCGAGAUUGUGCCAUUGCACUCCAGCCUGGGUAACAAGAGCGAAACUCCGUCUCAAAAAAAAGGAAGAGAAAAGGGAGAGAGUGGCAUGAGAUGAUGUUAAUGAGUUAGGCAAGGGCCCGUUGUGAAGCAGGUAGUCUGUA
rnacentral:lncRNA from 1 species